UACAGAGGUCUCAACCGUUGUUCGGAUUCAUUGGGCGUAAAGGGUGCGUAGGCGGUCGCGUAAGUCGGAUGUGAAAUCUCAGGGCUCAACCCUGAAACUGCAUUCGAUACUGCGUGGCUAGGGUACUGGAGAGGAGACUGGAAUUUACGGUGUAGCAGUGAAAUGCGUAGAUAUCGUAAGGAAGACCAGUGGCGAAGGCGAGCCUCUGGACAGUUACCGACGCUGAGGCACGAAGGUCAGGGGAGCAAACGGG
rnacentral:rRNA from 1 species